rnacentral:rRNA from 1 species
AUGAACGCUAGCGACAGGCUUAACACAUGCAAGUCGAGGGGCAGCACAGGUAGCAAUACCGGGUGGCGACCGGCGCACGGGUGAGUAACGCGUAUGCAACUUGCCUAUCAGAGGGGGAUAACCCGGCGAAAGUCGGACUAAUACCGCAUGAAGCAGGGGCCCCGCAUGGGGAUAUUUGCUAAAGAUUCAUCGCUGAUAGAUAGGCAUGCGUUCCAUUAGGCAGUUGGCGGGGUAACGGCCCACCAAACCGACGAUGGAUAGGGGUUCUGAGAGGAAGGUCCCCCACAUUGGUACUGAGACACGGACCAAACUCCUACGGGAGGCAGCAGUGAGGAAUAUUGGUCAAUGGGCGUAAGCCUGAACCAGCCAAGUCGCGUGAGGGAUGAAGGUUCUAUGGAUCGUAAACCUCUUUUAUAAGGGAAUAAAGUGCGGGACGUGUCCCGUUUUGUAUGUACCUUAUGAAUAAGGAUCGGCUAACUCCGUGCCAGCAGCCGCGGUAAUACGGAGGAUCCGAGCGUUAUCCGGAUUUAUUGGGUUUAAAGGGUGCGUAGGCGGCCUUUUAAGUCAGCGGUGAAAGUCUGUGGCUCAACCAUAGAAUUGCCGUUGAAACUGGGGGGCUUGAGUAUGUUUGAGGCAGGCGGAAUGCGUGGUGUAGCGGUGAAAUGCAUAGAUAUCACGCAGAACCCCGAUUGCGAAGGCAGCCUGCCAAGCCAUUACUGACGCUGAUGCACGAAAGCGUGGGGAUCAAACAGGAUUAGAUACCCUGGUAGUCCACGCAGUAAACGAUGAUCACUAGCUGUUUGCGAUACACUGUAAGCGGCACAGCGAAAGCGUUAAGUGAUCCACCUGGGGAGUACGCCGGCAACGGUGAAACUCAAAGGAAUUGACGGGGGCCCGCACAAGCGGAGGAACAUGUGGUUUAAUUCGAUGAUACGCGAGGAACCUUACCCGGGUUUGAACGCAUUCGGACCGAGGUGGAAACACCUUUUCUAGCAAUAGCCGUUUGCGAGGUGCUGCAUGGUUGUCGUCAGCUCGUGCCGUGAGGUGUCGGCUUAAGUGCCAUAACGAGCGCAACCCUUGCCACUAGUUACUAACAGGUAAAGCUGAGGACUCUGGUGGGACUGCCAGCGUAAGCUGCGAGGAAGGCGGGGAUGACGUCAAAUCAGCACGGCCCUUACAUCCGGGGCGACACACGUGUUACAAUGGCGUGGACAAAGGGAAGCCACCUGGCGACAGGGAGCGAAUCCCCAAACCACGUCUCAGUUCGGAUCGGAGUCUGCAACCCGACUCCGUGAAGCUGGAUUCGCUAGUAAUCGCGCAUCAGCCAUGGCGCGGUGAAUACGUUCCCGGGCCUUGUACACACCGCCCGUCAAGCCAUGGGAGCCGGGGGUACCUGAAGUCCGUAACCGCGAGGAUCGGCCUAGGGUAAAACUGGUGACUGGGGC